UACGGGGGGAGCAAGCGUUGUUCGGAUUUACUGGGCGUAAAGGGCGCGUAGGCGGCAAUUCAAGUCAUCUGUGAAAUCUCCGGGCUUAACUCGGAACGGUCAGAUGAUACUGCUUUGCUAGAGUGCGGAAGGGGCAAUCGGAAUUCUCGGUGUAGCGGUGAAAUGCGUAGAUAUCGAGAGGAACACCUGAGGUGAAGACGGGUUGCUGGGCCGACACUGACGCUGAGACGCGAAAGCUAGGGGAGCGAACAGG
rnacentral:rRNA from 1 species